AUCACGUUGAAACACCAGUUCCCAUGUGAUCACUGAAGUUAAGCAACAUUGAGCCUGGUCAGUACCUAGAUGAGCGACUGCUUGAGAAUUGCAGGUGGUGUAA